GAGGACCUGGACACUUGCUCCACUGCAGUGAGCAGCAAAAGGCCUUCAUCCCACCCGGAGGCUCUGAUCUACCUGCAGCCAUGAUACGGGUUCAAGGCUAACUCCCUGGGGAGCUGUGACCACACAGAAACUAUCCCCCUGGGGAUAUGGGGUCAGAUGAUGAUUCUAGGAUCAAGAGGAGGAGAAGGAAAACUGGGGAAGAGGGGUUCUCUUCUCAUGGAGAUUAAGGAGUGGUCUCUUUGAGUGGAUCCUGAAACAGACAGACACGGAUGGGCAAAUCUGAAAUCCAAAUGAAGUCUGCAUUUUGGCUAGGAGUGUUGUAGCAAUGUUAGUUUCUCCACUUUGACGAAAGGCUGUGGCUGGGUGAGAUGUUAGCUUUGGGGAAACUGGCUUAAAAGCUUGCAUAAAAUCUGUAUACUGCCUUUGCUACAAAAUGUAAAUUUUGUUCACUAAAAUGAGAGGUUGGGAGAACGUUCUGGUAGGAUGCUUGAUUCUCAGCACCACAUAAAAGCUAGUAUGUGGAUGUAGGCUUAGAAUCCCAGCAGAGACAGGAGGUGGUGGUAAGGAUUAGAAAUUUAAGGUCAGCCAGGCAGUGGUGUCCCAUGCCUGUAAUUCCCAGC
rnacentral:lncRNA from 1 species